GAGGAAUAUUGCGCAAUGGAGGCAACUCUGACGCAGCCAUGCCGCGUGCAGGAAGAAGGCGCUACGCGUUGUAAACUGCUUUUAACCGGGAAGAAACCCCAGGACGUGUCCUGGGUUGACGGUACCGGAGGAAUAAGCACCGGCUAACUUCGUGCCAGCAGCCGCGGUAAUACGAAGGGUGCAAGCGUUAUCCGGAUUCAUUGGGUUUAAAGGGUGCGUAGGCGGAGCGUUAAGUCAGUGGUGAAAUCCUGCAGCUUAACUGUAGACUUGCCAUUGAUACUGGCGCUCUUGAGUGCGCUUGAAGUAGGCGGAAUGUGCCGUGUAGCGGUGAAAUGCUUAGAUAUGGCACAGAACACCAAGUGCGAAGGCAGCUUACUAAGGCGAUACUGACGCUGAGGCACGAAAGCGUGGGGAGCGAAC
rnacentral:rRNA from 1 species